rnacentral:rRNA from 1 species
UGGUGGAGUGAUUUGUCUGCUUAAUUGCGAUAAUGAACGAGACCUUAACCUGCUAAAUAGCCAGGCUAGCUUUGGCUGGUCGCCGGCUUCUUAGAGGGACUAUCGGCUCAAGCCGAUGGAAGUUUGAGGCAAUAACA